UUUAUCCAGUUAUAUUUGAUUUUCAUUCCACUGUUGAAGAGAAGGUGCCACAAACACAAUACAUGAUAUAUAGGACAAGCUCUUAUUUGAAAGGAUAGACAAGAACAUCAGUCUUCUCAUAGAAGAUUGAUGCCAAAAACACAUCAGAAGACACACGAAAAAAGGAAAAAAUUAUUCAAUUAUUCAAGAGAAAUGACCAAACUCACUGUAGCUAGACUAGCAGCUCUCAAUUCUUUUGCAUAGCAAGGACCUUAGCCCAAGCUGGCCUUGCGGUGAUAUCAGCUGCCCAUGCGCUAACAUGGGGCCGUGAUUCAAUCAACUUUUUGCUUUGUGUGACGAACAGCAAGUGUAAGUUAGGUAGGUGGUGCAUAUCUGCCAAGGUGAAGGAGUCGCCUGCCAAGUACUUUGAUUGAGCCAGCCGUGACUCAUAGACAUCAAGAAUCUUAGCCAACUUAGCUUCGUUUUCCUCCACUGCUGCUGCAUCCGUGGUCAGCCCAAAUAAUGGCUUAAAAAAUAUUUCCCAGUUAAGUUUUGAAGCUGCUGGUUCAAAUUGUUGAGCCUCCACUUCCAUCCACACUGAUACUAUUGCCAUCUGCUUUCCUUGGCACAAAAGCUGGGUUCCUUUUUCUUGGUUCUCGUGGGCGAUGUAUUGGGUAAUUGCCCUUGAUUCAAAGAGCUUGAGAUCUCCAUGUUCCAAAGCCGGAACUUGACCAAAUGGAUUGAGGGAAAUGAAAGGCUCCUUCUUGUGCUCGCCUAUUCCCAUAUUGAUGUUAACGAACACAAACUCCAGCUCUUUCUCAUGGAGGGAAACCAGAACUCGCUGUGUAGCUGUUGAUAAAGGGCUUCCAUGGACCUUGAUAGCUGCCAUGAUAUGCCCUGAGGCUUGAGCUAAGAUAUUGUGAUGAAGAAGAAAGAAUUGUGAAGCUUGGAUGGGGUUCGGGAAGCCGAGUCUUGGGCAGGGAUUUAAUGAGCGGGGACGAGAUGACCCUUUGGUUUUAAAAACAUAUGGUUAGCCAGGUCUGAUUAAAAAAAGAGUAAAC
rnacentral:misc_RNA from 1 species